rnacentral:rRNA from 2 species
GACGAACGCUGGCGGUGUGCUUAACACAUGCAAGUCGAACGGUAAGGCCCUUUCGGGGGUACACGAGUGGCGAACGGGUGAGUAACACGUGAGUAACCUGCCCUCAUCUCUGGGAUAACAGUCGGAAACGGUUGCUAAUACUGGAUAUGAGCUUGCAAGGCAUCUUGUGGGUUGGAAAGAUUUUUUGGUUGGGGAUGGACUCGCGGCCUAUCAGCUUGUUGGUGAGGUAGUGGCUCACCAAGGCUUCGACGGGUAGCCGGCCUGAGAGGGCGACCGGCCACAUUGGGACUGAGAUACGGCCCAGACUCCUACCGGGGAGGGCAGCAGUGGGGGAAAUAUUUGCACAAAUGGGACCGGGAAAGUUCUGAUGCAAGCAAACCGC